rnacentral:ncRNA from 1 species
UUCGGUGCGUGCGGAUGAAAAGGGAAUGCCGUGCGAUUCGGCAACAGUUCCCGCUGCUGUGAGCCGCAACCAACGCUCCGAUACUCCACUGGCCACUGCCCUCCGCGGGCGGGAAGGCAUCGGAACGGCGGCGAGUCAGAAGACCUGCCUUGCAC